CCUACGGGUGGCAGCAGUGGGGGAUAUUGCACAAUGGGGGAAACCCUGAUGCAGCGACGCCGCGUGAGUGAAGAAGUCUUUCGGUAUGUAAAGCUCUAUCAGCAGGGAAGAAAAUGACAGUACCUGACCAAGAAGCCCCGGCUAACUACGUGCCAGCAGGCGCGGGAAUACGUAGUGGGCAAGCGUUCUCCGGAUUGACUGGGUGUAAAGGGAGCUUAGACGGUGAUGUAAGUCAGGAGUGAAAGCCCGGGGCUCAACCUCUGGAUUGCAUUUGAUACUGGGUAGCUGGAGUACAGGAGGGGUAGGCGGAAUUCCUGGUGUAGCGGUGAAAUGCGUAGAUAUGAGGAGGAACACCGACGGCGAAGGCAGCCUGCUGGACUGAAACUGACGUUGAGGCUCGAAAGCGUGGGGAGCAAACAGGAUUAGAUACCCUAGUAGUC
rnacentral:rRNA from 1 species